GAUGAACGCUAGCGGCAGGCCUAAUACAUGCAAGUCGAACGGUGUCUUCGGACAUAGUGGCGCACGGGUGCGUAACACGUAUGCAACCUACCUUACAUUGGGGGAUAGCCCUUCGAAAGGGAGAUUAAUACCGCAUAAGACAGUAGCUGGGCAUCCAGCAGCUGUUAAAGAUUUAUCGAUGUAAGCUGGGCAUGCGUCCAAUUAGCUAGUUGGUGAGGUAACGGCUCACCAAGGCAAUGAUUGGUAGGGGAACUGAGAGGUCAAUCCCCCACACUGGCACUGAGAGACGGGCCAGACUCCUACGGGAGGCAGCAGUAGGGAAUAUUGGGCAAUGGACGCAAGUCUGACCCAGCCAUGCCGCGUGCAGGAUGAAGGCGUUAUGCGUUGUAAGCUGCUUUUAUACAGGAAGAAACGACUCUUGCGAGAGGCAUUGACGGUACUGUAUGAAUAAGCACCGGCUAACUCCGUGCCAGCCGCCGCUGUAAUAC
rnacentral:rRNA from 1 species